rnacentral:rRNA from 1 species
AGAACGAACGCUGGCGGCGCGCUUAACACAUGCAAGUCGAACGCACCACUUUCGGGUGGUGAGUGGCGCACGGGUGAGUAACGCGUGGGAACCUACCUCGGGGUUCGGGACAACGGCGGGAAACUGCCGCUAACACCGGAUACGGCCUUCGCAAGGAGGCGAAAGUUUACGCCCUGGGAUGGGCCCGCGUCGGAUUAGCUAGUUGGUGGGGUAAUGGCCUACCAAGGCUGCGAUCCGUAGCCGGUCUGAGAGGAUGAUCGGCCACACUGGGACUGAGACACGGCCCAGACUCCUACGGGAGGCAGCAGUGGGGAAUCUGGACAAUGGGCGCAAGCCUGAUCCAGCGACGCCGCGUGGGUGACGAAGGCCUUCGGGUUGUAAAGCCCUUUUGCCGGGGACGAUGAUGACGGUACCCGGAGAAUAAGGACCGGCUAACUCCGUGCCAGCAGCCGC